AACGAACGCUGGCGGCAUGCCUAACACAUGCAAGUCGAACGAGACCUUCGGGUCUAGUGGCGCACGGGUGCGUAACGCGUGGGAACCUGCCCUUAGGUUCGGAAUAACUCCCCGAAAGGGGUGCUAAUACCGGAUAAUGUCUUCGGACCAAAGAUUUAUCGCCUUUGGAUGGGCCCGCUUUGGAUUAGCUAGUUGGUAGGGUAAAAGCCUACCAAGGCGACGAUCCAUAGCUGGUCUGAGAGGAUGAUCAGCCACACUGGGACUGAGACACGGCCCAGACUCCUACGAGAGGCAGCAGUGGGGAAUAUUGGACAAUGGGCGAAAGCGUGAUAAAGCAAUGCCGCGUGAGUGCUGAAGGCCUUAGGGUUGUAAAGCUAUUUUACCCGGGAUGAUAAUGACAGUACCGGGAGAAUAAGCCCCGGCUAACUCCGUG
rnacentral:rRNA from 1 species